rnacentral:rRNA from 1 species
GACGAACGCUGGCGGCGUGCUUAACACAUGCAAGUCGAACGGAAAGGCCCUGCUUUUGUGGGUUGCUCGAGUGGCGAACGGGUGAGUAACACUUGAGUAACCUGCCCUUGACUUUGGGAUAACUUCAGGAAACUGGGGCUAAUACCGGAUAGGAGCUCCUGCUGCAUGGUGGGGGUUGGAAAGUUUCGGCGGUUGGGGAUGGACUCGCGGCUUAUCAGCUUGUUGGUGGGGUAGUGGCUUACCAAGGCUUUGACGGGUAGCCGGCCUGAGAGGGUGACCGGCCACAGUGGGACUGAGAUACGGCCCAGACUCCUACGGGAGGCAGCAGUGGGGAAUAUUGCAUAAUGGGCGGAAGCCUGAUGCAGCAACGCCGCGUGCGGGAUGACGGCCUUCGGGUUGUAAACCGCUUUCGCCUGUGACGAAGCGUGAGUGAAGGUAAUGGGUAAAGAAGCACCGGCUAACUACGUG